UACGUAGGGACCAAGCGUUGUUCGGAUUUACUGGGCGUAAAGGGCGCGUAGGCGGCGCGGUAAGUCAUUUGUGAAAUCUCUGAGCUUAACUCAGAACGGCCAAGUGAUACUGCAGUGCUAGAGUGUGGAAGGGGCAAUCGGAAUUCUUGGUGUAGCGGUGAAAUGCGUAGAUAUCAAGAGGAACACCUGAGGUGAAGACGGGUUGCUGGGCCAACACUGACGCUGAGGAGCGAAAGCCAGGGGAGCAAACGGG
rnacentral:rRNA from 1 species